ACGAACGCUGGCGGCGUGCCUCGUACAUGCAAGUAGAACGCACAGUUUAUACCGUAGCUUGCUACACCAUAGACUGUGAGUUGCGAACGGGUGAGUAACUCGUAUGUAACCUGCCUGGUAGCGGGGGAUAACUAUUGGAAACGAUAGCUAAUACCGCAUAAUAUUAAUUAUUGCAUGAUAAUUAAUUGAAAGGUGCAAUUGCACCACUACCAGAUGGACCUGCGUUGUAUUAGCUAGUAGGUGAGGUAACGGCUCACCUAGGCGACGAUACAUAGCCGACCUGAGAGGGUGAUCGGCCAAAAUGGGAAUGAGACACGGCCCAGACUCCUACGGGGGGCAGCAGUAGGGAAUCUUCGGCAAUGGACGAAAGUCUGAACGAGAAACGCCGCGUGAGUGAAGAAGGUUUUCGGAUCGUAAAGCUCUGUUGUAAGAGAAGAACGGGUGUGAGAGUGGAAAGUUCACACUGUGACGGUAUCUUACCAGAAAGGGACGGCUAACUACGUG
rnacentral:rRNA from 1 species